UACGUAGGGUGCGAGCGUUAAUCGGAAUUACUGGGCGUAAAGCGCGCGCAGGCGGUCCUUUAAGUCUGAUGUGAAAGCCCACGGCUCAACCGUGGAGGGUCAUUGGAAACUGGGGGACUUGAGUGCAGAAGAGGAGAGCGGAAUUCCACGUGUAGCGGUGAAAUGCGCAGAUAUCAGGAGGAACACCGGUGGCGAAGGCGGGUCUCUGGGCCGAUACUGACGCUGAGGAGCGAAAGCGUGGGGAGCGAACAGG
rnacentral:rRNA from 1 species